AACGUACGCUGGCGGCACGCCUAACACAUGCAAGUCGAACGAAGUAGCAAUACUUAGUGGCAGACGGGUGAGUAACAUGUAGGUAUCUGCCCUUUUGGCCUGGAAUAACACGAGGAAAACUUGUGCUAAUACCGGAUAAGUCUUUACGGAGAAAGCUUUAUGCACCAUUGGAUGAGCCUGCACUUGAUUAGUUUGUUGGUGGGGUAAUGGCCUACCAAGACUGUGAUCAAUAGCUGAUUUGAGAGGAUGAUCAGCCACAUUGGGACUGAGACACGGCCCAAACUCCUACGGGAGGCAGCAGUGGGGAAUCUUGCACAAUGGAGGAAACUCUGAUGCAGCGAUGCCGCGUGAGUGAAGAAGGCCCUUGGGUUGUAAAGCUCUUUCGUCGGGGAAGAAAAUGACUGUACCCGAAUAAGAAGGUCCGGCUAACUUCGUGCCAGCAGCCGCGGUAAUACGAAGGGACCUAGCGUAGUUCGGAAUUACUGGGCUUAAAGAGUUCGUAGGUGGUUGAAAAAGUUAGUGGUGAAAUCCCAGAGCUUAACUCUGGAACUGCCAUUAAAACUUUUCAGCUAGAGUAUGAUAGAGGAAAGCAGAAUUUCUAGUGUAGAGGUGAAAUUCGUAGAUAUUAGAAAGAAUACCAAUUGCGAAGGCAGCUUUCUGGAUCAUUACUGACACUGAGGAACGAAAGCAUGGGUAGCGAAGAGGAUUAGAUACCCUCGUAGUCCAUGCCGUAAACGAUGUGUGUUAGACGUUGGAAAUUUAUUUUCAGUGUCGCAGGGAAACCGAUAAACACACCGCCUGGGGAGUACGACCGCAAGGUUAAAACUCAAAUGAAUUGACGGGGACCCGCACAAGUAGUGGAGCAUGUGGUUUAAUUCGAAGAUACGCGCAGAACCUUACCAACACUUGACAUGUUCGUCGCGACUCUAAGAGAUUAGAGUUUUCGGUUCGGCCGGACGAAACACAGGUGCUGCAUGGCUGUCGUCAGCUCGUGUCGUGAGAUGUUGGGUUAAGUCCCGCAACGAGCGCAACCCUCACUUUUAGUUGCCAUCAUUAAGUUGGGCACUCUGAAAGAACUGCCAGUGAUAAGCUGGAGGAAGGUGGGGAUGACGUCAAGUCCUCAUGGCCCUUACGUGUUGGGCUACACACGUGCUACAAUGGUAUCUACAACAGGAAGCAAAACCGCGAGGUUAAGCAAAUCCCUAAAAGAUACCUCAGUUCGGAUUGCACUCUGCAACUCGAGUGCAUGAAGCUGGAAUUACUAGUAAUCGUGGAAUCAGCGUGCCACGGUGAAAUGCGUUCCCGGGUCU
rnacentral:rRNA from 1 species